AACGAACGCUGGCGGCAUGCCUAACACAUGCAAGUCGAACGAGACCUUCGGGUCUAGUGGCGCACGGGUGCGUAACGCGUGGGAACCUGCCCUUAGGUUCGGAAUAACUCCCGAAAGGGGUGCUAAUACCGGAUAAUGUCUUCGGACCAAAGAUUUAUCGCCUUUGGAUGGGCCCGCGUUGGAUUAGCUAGUUGGUAGGGUAAAAGCCUACCAAGGCGACGAUCCAUAGCUGGUCUGAGAGGAUGAUCAGCCACACUGGGACUGAGACACGGCCCAGACUCCUACGGGAGGCAGCAGUGGGGAAUAUUGGGCAAUGGGCGAAAGCCUGAUCCAGCAAUGCCGCGUGAGUGAUGAAGGCCUUAGGGUUGUAAAGCUCUUUUACCCGGGAUGAUAAUGACAGUACCGGGAGAAUAAGCUCCGGCUAACUCCGUG
rnacentral:rRNA from 1 species